GUCCAACGCUCUCUGACUCAGUUUCCUCGUUCAUAAAGAAGUCGGUAAUAGCAGCGGUGCUCAACUCCCAAGGCUGCUUUGUACACCAAAGGAGGGCACCCUGAGGGGGACAUUAAAGCACCUAAGAAGCGAGAGUCGUACUGAUCGGAGAUCUCUCCCAGGAUAACCCGAAUCUUCGCGAAGACGCACAGAGUGCUGCUGAACUGGAGAUUUUCUCAAUCGGCAAAGCAAGGCAAGUGGGAACAGAGGUGCAAUGAAUGUCACAGCCCAAAGUGGAGACCCCGCGGCUGCCCACAGACGACUCCUCGACCCCGCAGAGCCCCGAAGCCCGCCUGUCCCGGCGGCGCCGCCCUCACCUGCGGUGUCCCAUAUGGAGAUGUUGAAGGAACGCCACUGCUUCAGGUAGAAGGCGCCGCCCACGGUGCUGACCGUGUCCGGGAAGCGACGCUCCAUGUAGCGCUGCAGCAGCGACGUUUUACCCACGUUCAUGUCCCCCAGCAGUACGAUCUUCCCAUCCGGCUUCCGCAUAGCCGCGGAGGAGAUGACCCCUGCGCUUCUCGGUCACCCGCCCAGGAUGCCAGGGGACGCGGACCCCGGCCUCCAGGGACCCCGAACUCUAGUGGCCCUGGCCUGAGAUCCGAACUCGAUGAAGUGCCAAAGAGGAAGCGCGCCACAGCUCUGUACCGGAGUGUGAACGCAGCCCUGCGACCACUCCCCACCCUUUGAAAGCCUGUAUGUCGCCAAGUUUGGAGCCUAGGACCUGGGUCCUAAGGUGAAAGUUCCAGAGCGCCUUCCUUCGGACGCUCCAGUUCCUCCAAAAGCCCGGGUAGCCGCGGAGAGGCCCAGGACCUGGUGUUUGUCUAGUCACAGGCUCCCUUGGCUCUGUUUCGCUUCCCAGCCUGUGCCCAGCGCUCCUCCUCGGUGCACCUUGGUUGCACCCACACAGGUGGAGAGUUGCCUGGCUGGGAAAGUCCCUUGGAAGUCGGCUAAGAUUUAAGGGAGAAUGUGGAUGGGUCGGGGACACCGGGAGGUGCCUGCUAGGUUCGCUUUUUACUUCUGCAAGAAACCUUGAAGGGAAAACUUGACUUUGCAUUUGCAGUGACUGCUAGAAAACAGCUUCCCUUUCUCCUAUAACAGAGAACCCCUAAAACCAAAAUCUUCCUCCAGGGGCACAAGCAUGCAGGGAGGCGGAGGAGAUAUUUGGGGCUGAGUAAAGCCCACUAGGUCCAGGGGAGGGAAGGGAAGGGAGACGACUCUCCUAGUAGCUUCUCCCUCUGCAGGUGCAGAGAUUCCACCGAGGCGAGAUGGCUACGCCUGCCUCAAGCACCCUGCCUGAGAACUGAGGACCGUUGCUCUAGGGAAUGCGGGUGGGAAAGUACGUUCUGGGGCGUGGAAUGCUCACCAGCGCGUGAAACCAGCUCCCUCUAAGCCCCAGGCUUCUGCUAGCCGCCCAUCCCACCCCACCGCAUGUCCUCCCAGGGAAAUUUAAGUUACUUCCAACUUACUAAGGGCUUGUUGCAUGAAAGUUACAGGGCCAGGCUGGAGGAGUAACCAGACGACAAGUCCCCAGAGGCUGAGAGAGAGAGAAAUGGGUUCUGUGUAAACAUCUAAGCUAGGAUCAGGGGGUGGCAAGAGUCCCUACCCCUAUCACCCUUCGAGGAUCUUCUGGUGUUGAGUUCUUCUAAUUUUCUCAGAGGUGAGACAUCCUAAUUUCAUGAUAUAAUAGCUGAGAGAGGUUACUUCCCAAUGGAGAUGUAGUUAAACAGAAAACAAGGAAAACCAAAUACUUAAAAAUAAAACAACAUGAAAGCCCUGUUCUGGCUUACUCUUUUAAUCCCAGAACUCAGGGGUUGGGAGGCAGAGGCAGAGGCAGACAGAUCUCUGAGUUCAAGGCCAGUUCAAGGUCUACAGAGUGAGUUCCAAGACAGCCAGGGAUACAUAUUGAAACCCUGUCAAAACAAAACAAAAGUAGGUUCAUAGAAAAUGACCGGAGGAGUACUGAGCGAGGACAGCUGCCCUGUGGGUGUGGAGUAAGAGUUGGCCUAUCUGGUUUUGCUUUUAUUUCCUACCACAGAUGUGCAUCAAUUAUAAUUUAAAGGUAAUAGUUAUUUCUAUAUGAACACAUAUGGAUAUGCAUAGACAGAUGACAAAUGAUCAAUUUGUAAUUUAUGCAUAGGAUGUGCUGGGGAGAAGAGGGAGAUUGCAAGACACAUUUUGUUCAGGCAAGCACAGUAUCAUAUUGAGAUGUUUUGUAUAACUAAUGAUAUGUUUUGUGAAGUGCAGUAUGGUGUGGCGGAAGGGGGCACCUUAGCCGGGCGGGGGCAUGCUGAGGCAUUCCUCCCC
rnacentral:lncRNA from 1 species